CUUCACCGAGCCCAGCCACAGCGGACGCUCCGCGUCAUGGUCCUGGCCGUAGGUGGCCAGCAGCGCCUGCGCCUC
rnacentral:antisense_RNA from 1 species